AAAUUGAAGAGUUUGAUCAUGGCUCAGAUUGAACGCUGGCGGCAGGCCUAACACAUGCAAGUCGAACGGUAACAGGAAGCAGCUUGCUGCUUUGCUGACGAGUGGCGGACGGGUGAGUAAUGUCUGGGAAACUGCCUGAUGGAGGGGGAUAACUACUGGAAACGGUAGCUAAUACCGCAUAACGUCGCAAGACCAAAGAGGGGGACCUUCGGGCCUCUUGCCAUCGGAUGUG
rnacentral:rRNA from 1 species